AGGAAAAGCCUCUAAGCUUCAGAUUGUAAGGAAUCGUACCCCAAACCGACACAGGUGGUCGGGUAGAGAAUACCAAGGCGCUUGAGAGAACUCGGGUGAAGGAACUAGGCAAAAUGGUACCGUAACUUCGGGAGAAGGUACGCUCUUGAUGGUGAAGUCCCUUGCGGAUGGAGCUGACGAGAGUCGCAGAUACCAGGUGGCUGCAACUGUUUAUUAAAAACACAGCACUGUGCAAAAUCGUAAGAUGACGUAUACGGUGUGACGCCUGCCCGGUGCCGGAAGGUUAAUUGAUGGGGUUAGCGUAAGCGAAGCUCUUGAUCGAAGCCCCGGUAAACGGCGGCCGUAACUAUAACGGUCCUAAGGUAGCGAAAUUCCUUGUCGGGUAAGUUCCGACCUGCACGAAUGGCGUAAUGAUGGCCACGCUGUCUCCACCCGAGACUCAGUGAAAUUGAAAUCGCUGUGAAGAUGCAGUGUACCCGCGGCUAGACGGAAAGACCCCGUGAACCUUUACUACAGCUUGGCACUGAACAUUGAACCUACAUGUGUAGGAUAGGUGGGAGGCUUUGAAGACGUGACGCCAGUUGCGUUGGAGCCGUCCUUGAAAUACCACCCUUGUAUGUUUGAUGUUCUAACGUUGGCCCCUAAUCGGGGUUGCGGACAGUGCCUGGUGGGUAGUUUGACUGGGGCGGUCUCCUCCCAAAGAGUAACGGAGGAGCACGAAGGUGGGCUAAUCACGGUUGGACAUCGUGAGGUUAGUGCAAUGGCAUAAGCCCGCUUAACUGCGAGAAUGACGGUUCGAGCAGGUGCGAAAGCAGGUCAUAGUGAUCCGGUGGUUCUGAAUGGAAGGGCCAUCGCUCAACGGAUAAAAGGUACUCCGGGGAUAACAGGCUGAUACCGCCCAAGAGUUCAUAUCGACGGCGGUGUUUGGCACCUCGAUGUCGGCUCAUCACAUCCUGGGGCUGAAGUCGGUCCCAAGGGUAUGGCUGUUCGCCAUUUAAAGUGGUACGCGAGCUGGGUUUAGAACGUCGUGAGACAGUUCGGUCCCUAUCUGCCGUGGGCGUUGGAAGAUUGAAGGGGGCUGCUCCUAGUACGAGAGGACCGGAGUGGACGAACCUCUGGUGUUCGGGUUGUGUCGCCAGACGCAUUGCCCGGUAGCUAAGUUCGGAAUCGAUAACCGCUGAAAGCAUCUAAGCGGGAAGCGAGCCCUGAGAUGAGUCUU
rnacentral:rRNA from 1 species